rnacentral:tRNA from 1 species
UGGCGGGUCGUCUAAUGGCAAGACUCUGGCUUCUGGUGCCAGCAAUUGGGGUUCGAGUCCCUGCCCGCCAA